rnacentral:rRNA from 1 species
GACGGAGGGUGCUAGCGUUGUUCGGAAUGACUGGGCGUAAAGGGCGCGUAGGCGGCCUUCUAAGUCGAACGUGAAAUCCCCGGGCUCAACCUGGGAACUGCAUCCGAAACUGCCUUGCUCGAGUAUGGGAGAGGGAAGUGGAAUUUCCGGUGUAGCGGUGAAAUGCGUAGAUAUCGGAAGGAACAUCAGUGGCGAAGGCGACUUCCUGGACCAAUACUGACGCUCAGGUGCGAAAGCGUGGGGAGCAAACAGG